GAGGAGUGGAGCGGCGGCGCGAGGGAUGAUGCGACGGAGAGGCGCUGUGGCGGCGUGCACCCUUAGUCACGGUAAAUCAUUGUCCGCGGGCCAAUCUUCUUCUCAACCAUCAUCUCCUUCCCUGCACAGACCCCCUCCCCCCUGCGCCACUUUCCUUCACCGACAGCGAGCUACGGUUCACUGGCUCCCCAACGUGGCGACCUGCAUCACAAGAAUAUGGUGGCGGUAGUUGUCUUCGCCGGAUUUGGCCAUGGCGCAACGAAUACGGACUAGGGUGCUCGGGCCCUCAACGCAUACAACAGGGUGAAUCUAGACUAUUAUGCUUGAGUCAUGAACUGUAAGCUGCAGCGGGUCACAUUCACUCACAUCGCAAAGAUCUGCUCCGGUGCUUGCCUCAAGGAAAGUGCUUUGAAAUUGACAUUGCCGGUCGAGAAGAAGUCGAGGAACAAAUUAUUUGUAGAGAACUGCAUGUUGUUUGCAAUUCUGAGCAUGUUUCUGUGAACUUAAUUUUCAUUUUGGUGCUAUGAGCAUGUUUGUAUAAACUUUGCAUUGUGCAUGGAGGAACAUAUUAGCCACACAAUGGUAUAUCAAAAUUUAUUUAUAGUUGAUCUUAGCUA